UGAGCCUCCUCACGAUAGGACAUGUGGAAGCUAUGCUGAGGCACCAUUCGUUUUCUCCUAUGAAUAAGUAACAUAGGCUACUUCAAGGAAGGAAGGAAGGAAAUAAUUAUUCGUUCCCAAAGUAGUCCCAAUGAACAAAACCGGAGGGACUCCACUCUUUUGCGGACCAGCCAAGAACCUAGACCGGGUUUCACUUUCACAUCUCUGGAAGUUGAGCUUUUUUUCAAAGUAUAUUCCACCCCUUGUUCUGGUGAAUCAGUGUCACUCUGCAGUUCUGCAGGGCUGCGUGAACAGAUGACAUGAUAUCUUCUUCCUCUGAUGAAAGAAUAUGAUCUGCUGUAGGCUACAGCGGGGGUGGUUGAGCACCAGAACACGCAUCCAUCAAGGCGGGAGCGCGCAUUGUGAAGAGGCGGGGCAGCGGGAAUAUCUCUUUCCGGAUAUUUACCUCCACCUGCCCGCGCGACGCGCCCAGUUCCAAGGUUUUUAACAGCGGUAGUAUCAACGGACAUGACAAAGUUCCCAAAUCCAGGACUACUGAGGUUGUGGAGAGAUGGACUGAGGGUUGUGUGAGUGAGUGACGCGUAAUUCAGAGUGAAAAGACACAGAGAGACGUGACAGUCCCAUUGUGACAUAGUUACGCUGCUCUGAGACCAGUCUGCAGGGGGGAACACACAGCCAUAACGGGUACCUCCCCAACAUUUCCAACCAACGCAGCUCUGAGACCACUGUCUGCAGGGAGGAACACACAGCCAUAAUAACGGGUACCUCCCCAACAUUCCCAACCAACGAGGCUCUGAGACCACUGUCUGCAGGGAGGAACACACAGCCAUAACGGGUACCUCCCCAACAUUCCCAACCAACGCUGCUCUGAGACCAGUCUGCAGGGGGGAACACACAGCCAUAACGGGUACCUCCCCAACAUUCCCAACCAACGCAGCUCUGAGACCAGUCUGCAGGGAGGAACACACAGCCAUAAUAACGGGUACCUCCCCAACAUUCCCAACCAACGCAGCUCUGAGACCAGUCUGCAGGGAGGAACACACAGCCAUAACGGGUACCUCCCCAACAUUCCCAACCAAUGUGGCUCCACAUACUCGUCCCUCUAUUGAUUUGAAUGUGUUGACAGUUGGAGAAAUAGCUUGAGCCGCAUUGAGAAUUAGAAAAGUAUGAAAGCCAAUGGUCCAGUAUUCUAGAAUACUGCUGUGCGGGGACAUUUUGGACUCUGAUAGACGUGUGUUUGUAAGAGGUUGAGUAACCCGCGGUAACAGACAUGCCCAAACCUGGUCUACUCUGUUUGGUUCAACUACUGGACAACACUAUCCAGACCUUUACAGUCAACAAGCAGGAUGCAGGUGAGGUUUUACUGGAGCAGGUGUGUAACCAGCUGGGUCUGCUGGAGAAACACUUCUUCAGUCUGCAGCUACGAGACUCCAACACCACCAUCGUCACUCAAACACACUCUCCUGUGAGUAGCUACACUAACACAGCUCAAACACACUCUCCUGUGAGUAGCUACACUAACACAGCUCAAACACACUCUCCUGUGAGUAGCUACACUAACACAGCUCAAACACACUCUCCUGUGAGUAGCUACACUAACACAGCUCAAACACACUCUCCUGUGAGUAGCUACACUAACACAGCUCAAACACACUCUCCUGUGAGUAGCUACACUAACACAGCUCAAACACACUCUCCUGUGAGUAGCUACACUAACACAGC